rnacentral:lncRNA from 1 species
CUUUCUUCUGAUGAGUGAACAGCCUCACCGGAACUUCCCCAUCCUCCUGGCUUGGUUCCUGAAGUGGCCCAAGGCUGCCUUCUCCCUCCCGUGGGUGAACAGGGUCACUGCUUCCUCUCUUGUCCAGGCCCCCUGGCCUGACCCUGAGUCCCGGGCGUAACGGCGUUGUUGAACCACCACAACCCCAGGCGGCGCCUUCCUCUUGGCCCAGGGGCUCUCUUGGGGACAGUGUGCAGUACUCCCCAAGGGGGCUUUGCUGUGCAAAAGCAGCCCCUGCCGAUGCUGCGGCUCCCGUGGAUGGAGCACUGCCGUGGGAACAGAGUUGGAACUCAUCCAAAAGAAUAAAAGACAACUGUGUUGGAAGAUUGCCAAGGUUUGUAGCUGUGCCACCGCAGACUUCAGAGAUGAACACUGCCUUGGAGACGAGGAGGAUUCAAGUUGCAGAAGCAUUUAGAAACCUCAAACUUGAGACACGGUGGGAAAUCAGGAAGACAUGAGGCUUUGCUCAACACUGGAGAACACCAGUUCUUUUCAGUUUGUAUGCAUCUUUAUCAGGAAGAUGAUCAUUCAAGAGGCCUGAAGGAAGACUUGUGUUGGAGCCUAAGGAUUAAGCACCAGAAUCCACCAGGUUGAAGUGGUCAGAAAUCUUCAGUUGGGCACCUUGGUGAG